rnacentral:rRNA from 1 species
CCUACGGGAGGCUGCAGUGAGGAAUAUUGGUCAAUGGCCGGAAGGCUGAACCAGCCAAGUCGCGUGAGGGACGACUGCCCUCUGGGUUGUAAACCUCUUUUAUAAGGGAAGAAUAAAUGCUACGUGUAGCCUGAUGCCUGUACCUUAUGAAUAAGCAUCGGCUAACUCCGUGCCAGCAGCCGCGGUAAUAGGGAGGAUGCGAGCGUUAUCCGGAUUUAUUGGGGUAAAAGGGUGCGUAGGCGGUUUUUUAAGUUAGUGGUAAAACGUCGGGGCUUCACCUUGAUUUGCCAUUAAUACUGUAAGACUCGAGUUCAGACGAGGUAGGCGGAAUAAGUUAAGUAGCGGUGAAAUGCUUAGAUAUAACUUAGAACUCCGAUAGCGAAGGCAGCUUACCAGACUGCGACUGACGCUGAAGCACGAGAGCGUGGGUAGCGAACAGGAUUAGAUACCCCAGUAGUC